AUUGAACGCUGGCGGCAGGCCUAACACAUGCAAGUCGAGCGAGCGGCGGACGGGUGAGUAAUGCCUGGGAAUUGCCCAGUCGAGGGGGAUAACAGUUGGAAACGCCUGCUAAUACCGCAUACGAUUGGAUUGCCCAGGUGGGAUUAGCUAGUUGGUGAGGUAAUGGCUCACCAAGGCGACGAUCCCUAGCUGGUCUGAGGGGAUGAUCAUCCCCACUGGAACUGAGACGCGGUCCAGCCUCCUCCGGUAGGCAGCAGUGGGGAAUAUUGCACAAUGGGGGAAACCCUGAUGCAGCCAGGCCGCGUGUGUGAAGAAGGCCUUCGGGUUGUAAAGCACUUUCAGCUAGGAGGCGUUACUCGCAGAAGAAGCACCGGCUAACUCCGUGCCAGCAGCCGCGGUAAUUC
rnacentral:rRNA from 1 species